rnacentral:rRNA from 1 species
UACAGAGGUCUCAAGCGUUGUUCGGAUUCAUUGGGCGUAAAGGGUGCGUAGGCGGCGCGGUAAGUCGGGUGUGAAAUCUCGGAGCUUAACUUCGAAACUGCAUUCGAUACUGCCGUGCUUGAGGACUGGAGGGGAGACUGGAAUUUACGGUGUAGCGGUGAAAUGCGUAGAUAUCGUAAGGAAGACCAGUGGCGAAGGCGGGUCUCUGGACAGUUCCUGACGCUGAGGCACGAAGGCCAGGGGAGCAAACGGG